rnacentral:rRNA from 1 species
GUCCACGCCGUAAACGAUGGGUGCUAGGCGUCGGGGGGAGCGACCCCUUCGGUGCCGUCGCUAACGCAAUAAGCACCCCGCCUGGGGAGUACGGUCGCAAGACUGAAACUCAAAGGAAUUGACGGGGGCCCCGCACAAGCGGUGGAGCAUGUGGUUUAAUUCGAAGCAACGCGAAGAACCUUACCUGGGCUUGACAUGCACGGGAAAGCCGGUGGAAACAUCGGCCCCUCUUCGGAGUCCGUGCACAGGUGCUGCAUGGCUGUCGU